rnacentral:rRNA from 1 species
CGGGCCUAAUACAUGCAAGUCGAACGAACUCUGGUAUUGAUUGGUGCUUGCAUCAUGAUUUACAUUUGAGUGAGUGGCGAACUGGUGAGUAACACGUGGGAAACCUGCCCAGAAGCGGGGGAUAACACCUGGAAACAGAUGCUAAUACCGCAUAACAACUUGGACCGCAUGGUCCGAGUUUGAAAGAUGGCUUCGGCUAUCACUUUUGGAUGGUCCCGCGGCGUAUUAGCUAGAUGGUGGGGUAACGGCUCACCAUGGCAAUGAUACGUAGCCGACCUGAGAGGGUAAUCGGCCACAUUGGGACUGAGACACGGCCCAAACUCCUACGGGAGGCAGCAGUAGGGAAUCUUCCACAAUGGACGAAAGUCUGAUGGAGCAACGCCGCGUGAGUGAAGAAGGGUUUCGGCUCGUAAAACUCUGUUGUUAAAGAAGAACAUAUCUGAGAGUAACUGUUCAGGUAUUGACGGUAUUUAACCAGAAAGCCACGGCUAACUACGUGCCAGCAGCCGCGGUAAUACGUAGGUGGCAAGCGUUGUCCGGAUUUAUUGGGCGUAAAGCGAGCGCAGGCGGUUUUUUAAGUCUGAUGUGAAAGCCUUCGGCUCAACCGAAGAAGUGCAUCGGAAACUGGGAAACUUGAGUGCAGAAGAGGACAGUGGAACUCCAUGUGUAGCGGUGAAAUGCGUAGAUAUAUGGAAGAACACCAGUGGCGAAGGCGGCUGUCUGGUCUGUAACUGACGCUGAGGCUCGAAAGUAUGGGUAGCAAACAGGAUUAGAUACCCUGGUAGUCCAUACCGUAAACGAUGAAUGCUAAGUGUUGGAGGGUUUCCGCCCUUCAGUGCUGCAGCUAACGCAUUAAGCAUUCCGCCUGGGGAGUACGGCCGCAAGGCUGAAACUCAAAGGAAUUGACGGGGGCCCGCACAAGCGGUGGAGCAUGUGGUUUAAUUCGAAGCUACGCGAAGAACCUUACCAGGUCUUGACAUACUAUGCAAAUCUAAGAGAUUAGACGUUCCCUUCGGGGACAUGGAUACAGGUGGUGCAUGGUUGUCGUCAGCUCGUGUCGUGAGAUGUUGGGUUAAGUCCCGCAACGAGCGCAACCCUUAUUAUCAGUUGCCAGCAUUAAGUUGGGCACUCUGGUGAGACUGCCGGUGACAAACCGGAGGAAGGUGGGGAUGACGUCAAAUCAUCAUGCCCCUUAUGACCUGGGCUACACACGUGCUACAAUGGAUGGUACAACGAGUUGCGAACUCGCGAGAGUAAGCUAAUCUCUUAAAGCCAUUCUCAGUUCGGAUUGUAGGCUGCAACUCGCCUACAUGAAGUCGGAAUCGCUAGUAAUCGCGGAUCAGCAUGCCGCGGUGAAUACGUUCCCGGGCCUUGUACACACCGCCCGUCACACCAUGAGAGUUUGUAACACCCAAAGUCGGUGGGGUAACCUUUUAGGAACCAGCCGCCUAAGGU